UAUAUACUUCCUCCAUUCGAAAUUAUUUGUCUUGAAAAUGAAUGUAUCUAAAAUUAAAAUACGUCCAGAUACAUCCAUUUCCGUGACAAGUAAUUCCGAACGGAGGAAGUACGUU
rfam:Triticum urartu cultivar G1812 contig557310, whole genome shotgun sequence.